GAAUUCACUAGUGAUUCAGGCCUAACACAUGCAAGUCGAGCGAACCCUUCGGGGUGAGCGGCGGACGGGUGAGUAACGCGUGGGUAACCUGCCCUGUACACACGGAUAACAUACCGAAAGGUAUGCUAAUACGAGAUAACAUGUAAUGAUCGCAUGGUCGAUACAUCAAAGCUCCGGCGGUACAGGAUGGACCCGCGUCUGAUUAGCUAGUUGGUGAGGUAAUGGCUCACCAAGGCGACGAUCAGUAGCCGACCUGAGAGGGUGAUCGGCCACAUUGGAACUGAGACACGGUCCAAACUCCUACGGGAGGCAGCAGUGGGGAAUAUUGCACAAUGGGCGAAAGCCUGAUGCAGCAACGCCGCGUGAGCAAAGGAGGCCUUCGGGUCGUAAAGCUCUGUCCUCAAGGAAGAUAAUGAC
rnacentral:rRNA from 1 species